UACCUGCAGCUCGAGUGGUAACCGCUAUUAUUGGGCCUAAAGCGUCCGUAGCCGGUUUGGUAAAUAUCUGGGUAAAUCGUGAGGCUUAACUUCACGAAUUUCGGAUAGACUGCCAGACUUGGGAUCGGGGGAGGUCAGAGGUACUCCAGGGGUAGCGGUGAAAUGUUGUAAUCCUUGGAGGACCACCGGUAGCGAAGGCGUCUGACUAGAACGAGUCCGACGGUGAGGGACGAAGCCCUGGGCGCAAACCGGAUUAGAUACCCCGGGUAGUCCAGGGUGUAAACGAUGUGGGCUUUGUAUUGGAGGUCCCACGUGGGCGUCCAGUGCAGAAGAGAAGUUGUUAAGCCCACCGCCUGGGAAGUACGGUCGCAAGGCUGAAACUUAAAGGAAUUGGCGGGGGAGCACAGCAACGGGAGGAGCGUGCGGUUU
rnacentral:rRNA from 1 species